rnacentral:lncRNA from 1 species
UUUACUUGUUAUUAUGUCUACGAGAAAAUUUGAAUCUGGAUGUGCCAAAAGAAAAAGGAAGGAAAACAUUGAAAAGUUGAUUAAAUCUCAAGAGGGAGCACUUGAUAAGUUUUUUGGUAGUAGUAAACGAAUACACAAUGAUGACAUAGCUACUGAAGAAGUGUUAAAUGAGAAUGACAACAAUAAUAAUACAAUUGAAGAAGGACAUUGUGUGAUGAAUGAAGAGGUAUCUACUGACAAAGAUAAUGAAC